AUUGAACGCUGGCGGCAUGCUUUACACAUGCAAGUCGAACGGUAACAGGCCGCAAGGUGCUGACGAGUGGCGCACGGGUGAGUAAUGCAUCGGAACGUGCCCAGUCGUGGGGGAUAACUACUCGAAAGAGUAGCUAAUACCGCAUACGAUCUAUGGAUGACAGCGGGGGACCGUAAGGCCUCGCGCGAUUGGAGCGGCCGAUGUCAGAUUAGGUAGUUGGUGGGGUAAAGGCUCACCAAGCCAACGAUCUGUAGCUGGUCUGAGAGGACGACCAGCCACACUGGGACUGAGACACGGCCCAGACUCCUACGGGAGGCAGCAGUGGGGAAUUUUGGACAAAGGGCGCAAGCCUGAUCCAGCAAUGCCGUGUGCAGGAAGAAGGCCUUCGGGUUGUAAACUGCUUUUGUACGGAACGAAACGGCUCUGGUUAAUACCCGGGGCUAAUGACGGUACCGUAAGAAUAAGCACCGGCUAACUACGUG
rnacentral:rRNA from 1 species